UACGGAGGGUGCGAGCGUUAAUCGGAAUUACUGGGCGUAAAGCGCACGCAGGCGGNUUGUUAAGCUAGAUGUGAAAGCCCCGGGCUCAACCUGGGAUGGUCAUUUAGAACUGGCAGACUAGAGUCUUGGAGAGGGGAGUGGAAUUCCAGGUGUAGCGGUGAAAUGCGUAGAUAUCUGGAGGAACAUCAGUGGCGAAGGCGACUCCCCGGCCAAAGACUGACGCUCAUGUGCGAAAGUGUGGGUAGCGAACAGG
rnacentral:rRNA from 1 species